GAUGAACGCUGGCGGCGUGCCUAAUACAUGCAAGUCGAGCGAACGGACGCGAAGCUUGCUUCUCUGAUGUUAGCGGCGGACGGGUGAGUAACACGUGGAUAACCUACCUAUAAGACUGGGAUAACUUCGGGAAACCGGAGCUACUACCGGAUAAUAUUUUGAACCGCAUGGUUCAAAAGUGAAAGACGGUCUUGCUGUCACUUAUAGAUGGAUCCGCGCUGCAUUAGCUAGUUGGUAAGGUAACGGCUUACCAAGGCAACGAUGCAUAGCCGACCUGAGAGGGUGAUCGGCCACACUGGAACUGAGACACGGUCCAGACUCCUACGGGAGGCAGCAGUAGGGAAUCGUCCGCAAUGGGCGAAAGCCUGACGGAGCAACGCCGCGUGAGUGAUGAAGGUCUUCGGAUCGGAAAACUCUGUUAUUAGGGAAGAACAUAUGUGUAAGUAACUGUGCACAUCUGGACGGUACCUAAUCAGAAAGCCACGGCUAACUACGUG
rnacentral:rRNA from 1 species